AUUCGGAAUAAACUGCUUCUGAUCACAAGAAAACACAACAAGCCAAGCGGGGUCACCAGCACCUCAUUGUUAUCUCCCCUGUCUGAGUCACCUGUUGAAGAAUUCCAGUACAUCAGGACUAGGAUACAUUAAGGUAUGGAAUAUAUCUAGCAUUGGCCACUAAGAUGGAGUAUUUCUACUGGAGAGCUGAGAAGGAGAUCUGUCUGUCUGACUCUCCCAUGGUGAUGACCUUAGUGGAUGGGCCAGCUGAAGAGAGUGACAAUCUCAUCUGUGUGGCUUAUCGACACCAAUUUGAUGUGGUGAACGAGAGCACAGGAGAAGCCUUCAGGCUGCACCACGUGGAGGCCAACAGGCAGGGUCAGUGUUCUCAUUAUGCCUGCUUUACAGACGAAGACCUAAGGCCAGAGGCUAAGCCAUUUGCCACACACCACAGAGGCAAAACUGAGGCCCAGAGAGAGGAGUUUGCCCCAGACCACGGAACUAGGUGUUCUGACACCCUUUUCAUUGCACCAUGCUGCCUCUCUUGACAUGAAGAACAGAGAAAGAAUAAAGUGUGAAGACAUGCCGUGGCGAUUUUAAGGUGCACAGACUUUAUCUGUUGGAGGCAGAAGGAUGCCUCGCUGGAGGUUAAUUUUGUUGCAGCUAUUGAUGUGUACGAAGAUGGAGAAGCUGGUUUGCUGUUGUGUUACAACUACAGUUGCAUCUAUAAAAAGGUUUGCCCCUUUAAUGGUGGCUCUUUUUUGGUUCAACCUUCUGCGUCAGAUUUCCAGUUCUGUUGGAACCAGGCUCCCUAUGCAAUUGUCUGUGCUUUCCCAUAUCUCCUGGCCUUCACCACCGACUCCAUGGAGAUCCGCCUGGUGGUGAACGGGAACCUGGUCCACACCGCAGUCGUGCCGCAGCUGCAGCUGGUGGCCUCCAGGUCGGAUAUAUACUUCACAGCAACUGCAGCUGUGAAUGAGGUCUCAUCUGGAGGCAGCUCCAAGGGGGCCAGUGCCCGAAAUUCUCCUCAGACACCCCCGGGCCGAGAUACUCCAGUAUUUCCUUCUUCCCUGGGGGAAGGUGAAAUUCAAUCAAAAAAUCUGUACAAGAUUCCACUUAGAAACCUCGUGGGCAGAAGCAUCGAACGACCUCUGAAGUCGCCCUUAGUCUCCAAGGUCAUCACCCCACCCACUCCCAUCAGUGUGGGCCUCGCUGCCAUUCCAGUCACGCACUCCUUGUCCCUGUCUCGCAUGGAGAUCAAAGAAAUAGCAAGCAGGACCCGCAGGGAACUACUGGGCCUCUCGGAUGAAGGUGGACCCAAGUCAGAAGGAGCGCCAAAGGCCAAAUCAAAACCCCGGAAACGGUUAGAAGAAAGCCAAGGAGGCCCCAAGCCAGGGGCAGUGAGGUCAUCUAGCAGUGACAGGAUCCCAUCAGGCUCCUUGGAAAGUGCUCCUACUUCCGAAGCCAACCCUGAGGGGCACUCAGCCAGCUCUGACCAGGACCCUGUGGCAGACAGAGAGGGCAGCCCGGUCUCCGGCAGCAGCCCCUUCCAGCUCACGGCUUUCUCCGAUGAAGACAUUAUAGACUUGAAGUAACAGAGUUGACUCUCAUUUGCCAUCUUUAGUUUUCUUAUGGAGGUUUAUACUCUUUAAACAGUUCUGAUGUAAUUUCUCAACAAAAUGUGGCUUUUAGCCUGUCAGUGAUCUAUUGGACCAAACCUUCUGCACACUCGGCCAGUUCCCUCUCCAAUGUCCGGUGCCAUCUUUCCUGACCUUUGUUUCUUUCUGUUCAGGAACCAUCAGUCCCCUUGUAAUAAAGGUGGUAGAUUUCAUUGAGGUUUUAGAUUGAAACUUUGAAUAAAUCAAAAAUACUCAUUCUUA
rnacentral:sRNA from 1 species